rnacentral:rRNA from 1 species
CCUACGGGGGACUGCAGUGAGGAAUAUUGGUCAAUGGGCGAGAGCCUGAACCAGCCAAGUCGCGUGAGGGAGUACUGCCCUAUGGGUUGUAAACCUCUUUUGUCGGGGAGCAAAAGCCGGACGUGUCCGGCUGUGAGAGUACCCGAAGAAAAAGCAUCGGCUAACUCCGUGCCAGCAGCCGCGGUAAUACGGAGGAUGCGAGCGUUAUCCGGAUUUAUUGGGGUUAAAGGGUGCGCAGGCGGAUUUUUAAGUCAGCGGUCAAAUCGUGGGGCUCAACCCCAUCCAGCCGUUGAAACUGGGGAUCUAGAGUGUGCGAGAGGUAGGCGGAAUGCGUGGUGUAGCGGUGAAAUGCAUAGAUAUCACGCAGAACCCCGAUUGCGAAGGCAGCAUACCGGUGCACAACUGACGCUCAGGCACGAAAGCGUGGGUAUCGAACAGGAUUAGAUACCCUUGUAGUC